GACAGAGGGUGCAAACGUUGUUCGGAAUUACUGGGCGUAAAGCGAGUGUAGGCGGUUCGAUAAGUCGGAUGUGAAAGCCCCGGGCUCAACCCGGGAAGUGCACUCGAUACUGUCGAGCUAGAGUAUCGGAGAGGUUGGUGGAAUUCUCGGUGUAGAGGUGAAAUUCGUAGAUAUCGAGAGGAACACCGGUGGCGAAGGCGGCCAACUGGACGAAUACUGACGCUGAGACUCGAAAGCGUGGGGAGCAAACAGG
rnacentral:rRNA from 2 species